rnacentral:rRNA from 1 species
AGUGGAUGGGGAGCAACCUAGUUGUGCGUGUGUAAAGGUAGUGCCAAGAAAAGCGGUGAUCAUGAUGAAAAUCAAUUCCCGGUACCCGAAACCGACACAGGUGGGCAAGUAGAGAAUACUAAGGGGCGCGAGGUAACUCUCUCCAAGGAACUCGGCAAAAUGACCCCGUAACUUAGGGAGAAGGGGUGCCACCGAGAGGUGGUCGCAGUGAAGAGGCCCAGGCGACUGUUUAGCAAAAACAUAGGUCUCUGCAAACUCGAAAGAGGAGGUAUAGGGGCUGACGCCUGCCCAGUGCCGGAAGGUUAAAGAAGUUGGUCAGUCUUAGGAUAAAGCUAGCGACUGAAGCCCCGGUGAACGGCGGCCGUAACUAUAACGGUCCUAAGGUAGCGAAAUUCCUUGUCGGGUAAGUUCCGACCCGCACGAAAGGCGUAACGAUCUGGGCGCUGUCUCGGAGAGAGGCUCGGCGAAAUAGGAUUGUCUGUGAAGAUACGGACUACCUGCAUUUGGACAGAAAGACCCUAUGAAGCUUUACUAUAGCUUGGAAUUGUGUUCGGGCUUCCUGUGCGCAGGAUAGGUGGGAGGCGAAGAAGGUAUUCUUGUGGGGAUACUGGAGCCAACGGUGAGAUACCACUCUCAGGAGGCUAGAAUUCUAACUUAAUUAAGGACAGUUUCAGGUGGGUAGUUUGACUGGGGCGGUCGCCUCCAAAAAGGUAACGGAGGCGUACAAAGGUUCCCUCAGACUGGUUGGAAAUCAGUCGCAGAGUGCAAAGGCAGAAGGGAGCUUGACUGCGAGAAGUACAGUUCGAGCAGGGUGGAAACACGGUCUUAGUGAUCCGACGGUGCUGUGUGGAAGGGCCGUCGCUCAACGGAUAAAAGUUACUCUAGGAUAACAGGCUGAUCUCCCCCAAGAGUUCACAUCGACGGGGAGGUUUGGCACCCCGAUGUCGGCUCAUCGCAACCUGGGGCGGAAGUACGUCCCAAGGGUUGGGCUGUUCGCCCAUUAAAGCGGUACGUGAGCUGGGUUCAGAACGUCGUGAGACAGUUCGGUCCAUAUCCGAUGUAGGCGUGAGAAUAUUGAGAGGAGCCUUCCUUAGUACGAGAGGACCGGGAAGGACGCACCGCUGGUGUACCUGUUAUGAUGCCAAUUGUAAACGCAGGGUAGCCAAGUGCGGAGAGGAUAACCGCUGAAAGCAUCUAAGUGGGAAGCCCACCUCAAGAUGAGUAUUCUGGUGUAAGGUCACGGGAAGACGACCCGUAAAUAGGCACGAGGUGGAAGUGCAGAGAUGUAUGAAGCCGAAGUGUACUAAUAGACCGUCGGCUUGACC